AGAGUUUGAUCAUGGCUCAGAGCGAACGCUGGCGGCAGGCUUAACACAUGCAAGUCGAGCGGGCGCAGCAAUGCGUCAGCGGCAGACGGGAGAGUAACACGUGGGAACGCGCCCUUCGGUUCGGAAUAACUCAGGGAAACUUGAGCUAAUACCGGAUACGCCCUAACGGGGAAAGAUUUAUCGCCGAAGGAACGGCCCGCGUCUGAUUAGCUAGUUGGUGAGGUAAUGGCUCACCAAGGCGACGAUCAGUAGCUGGUCUGAGAGGAUGGCCAGCCUCACUGGGACUGAGACACGGCCCAGACUCCUACGGGAGGCAGCAGUGGGGAAUAUUGGACAAUGGGCGCAAGCCUGAUCCAGCCAUGCCGCGUGGAUGAUGAAGGCCCUAGGGUUGUAAAGUCCUUUUAACGGGGAAGAUAAUGACGGUACCCGUAGAAUAAGCCCCGGCUAACUUCGUGCCAGCCGCCGCGGUAAUAC
rnacentral:rRNA from 1 species